GAGAAUCCAAAGAAAGAAGGAGAAGAAGGAGAUCAGAAUAUCAGCAAGAAGAUCAAGAAAAAGUCCCUUUCUUUCCUUUUUAUCUCUCCUCUCUCUCAGUUUCUAUAUAAUUAAGCAUCUUUCUUUUUUUAUUUCUGUCCUAGCUAGGGUUUGCAAGUUCCCAUCUUUCUUUCACCCAAUUGGUUACAAUCUCAGAAAAAAGAGAGAAAUGGGUAUAUCUUAAGAAGAAGAAGAAGAAAAUCAG
rnacentral:lncRNA from 1 species